AUUUGACCUCAAAUCAGGUAGGAGUACCCGCUGAACUUAAGCAUAUCAAUAAGCGGAGGAAAAGAAAAUAACAAUGAUUCCCCUAGUAACUGCGAGUGAAGAGGGACAAGCUCAAAUUUUAAAUCUGUUAGGUUUACCUAACCGAGUUGUAAUUUGAAGAGGCGUUUUCUGUGUUUUUGAUCAGCCCAAGUCCUUUGGGAUAGGGCAUCAUGGAGGGUGAGAAUCCCGUUCGGUUGAUCAGAUUCGCUUUACGAUACGUCAUCUAAGAGUCAAGUUGUUUGGGAUUGCAGCUUAAAAUGGGAGGUAAAUUUCUCCUAAGGCUAAAUAACGGCGAGAGACCGAUAGCGAACAAGUACCGUGAGGGAAAGAUGAAAAGAACUUUGAAAAGAGAGUUAAACAGUACGUGAAAUUGUUGAAAGGGAAACGAUUGAAGCCAGUCGUACCUUCGGGUAAUCAGCCUUUCGGGUGCGAUUCUGUGGAGCGUGGGGAGUUAAACGCCUUCAUGCCUGCAUAUUCGUGCACUUUGGGUGUACUUGCCCGUGUGGUAGGUUAACAUCAAUUUCGGAUGUCAUAAAAUGGCUGGAGGAAUGUAGCUUCGGUCUCGUACUGAAGUGUUAUAGCCUUUGGUAGAUGUGAUGACCGGGAUUGAGGAUUGCAACGAAUACCUUUUGGGCUACCCGCCUGAUCUCUGAAAGUUGCUCUGGUGCCGAAAGCUUGCUUACGGUUAUCAAAGUUGACGUUCAAAAGGUUAGAACGGGUUAAAUUCGUUAAGGAUGUUGACGUAAUGGCUUUAAACGACCCGUCUUGAAACACGGACCAAGGAGUCUAACAUAUGUGCGAGUGUUU
rnacentral:rRNA from 1 species